rnacentral:lncRNA from 1 species
AUGUUAGAAUGUUCUAAAUGAAUAGAUCGUAGCGGGGAUAAGUGGCAAUAGAACACAGCCAGGAACUCUUCUGCGCGAGUCAGCGUGACGUGCGUGCGCGGGCUCGUCAUUUGAAUUAAAUAACGGACACAAGCAACGGGCGGAACGGUAAUCAAAGUGAUGGUCUCCUCGCCAGAGAAGCUAGCAGCAUUCAAUGGGGAAGCUUUGCUAUUUCUUUCGCUGGAAUCUCCAAUUGAAAACAUCAUCGUGUGCGCUUAGACUUCUGUUCCAGUUCUGACUACACCACACUCUGCUUAUGUUGAUCACUGACUACUAUGUUCUCUGAAG